rnacentral:ncRNA from 2 species
GACGUUCGACCACUCCGAGCCGCUCGGCCCUUCCGCACGCAGUGCGAUGGACGGCGGCCUGAGCGCGGGGCGCGCCUUCGUCCUCAGGCGCCCUGCGCUCACGGGGUAUGCCUGGAAACGGGCAUGCCUUCCACGAGACCGGUAUAAGGAGGUGGGUCGCGUUCACG